AACUUUCAACAACGGAUCACUUGGCUCUGGCAUCGAUGAAGAACGCAGCGAAAUGCGAUAAGUAGUGUGAAUUGCAGAAUUCAGUGAAUCAUCGAAUCUUUGAACGCACAUUGCGCCCCUUGGUAUUCCAUGGGGCAUGCCUGUUCGAGCGUCAUCUACACCCUCAAGCUCUGCUUGGUGUUGGGCGUCUGUCCCGCCUCUGCGCGUGGACUCGCCCCAAAUUCAUUGGCAGCGGUCUUUGCCUCCUCUCGCGCAGCACAUUGCGCUUCUCGAGGUGCGCGGCCCGCGUCCACGAAGCAACAUUACCGUCUUUGACCUCGGAUCAGGUAGGGAUACCCGCUGAACUUAAGCAUAUCAAUAAGCGGAGGCU
rnacentral:misc_RNA from 1 species